rnacentral:rRNA from 1 species
CGCCCCCCGCGGCGCUGCAUUAUUUUUGCAACGGAAGAACUUACCAAGCUUGACUCACCGCAAACGCAACAUGGUCGCCCCCCCCCCGUUGGUUACAGCUGGUGCAUGAAAAAAGCUCCUGUCGUGAGAUGUUGGUUAAGUCCCGCAACGAGCGCAACCCUCCUUCUUGUUGCCACGGGUCAUGCCGGGACUCAUAGGAGACUGCCGGGGUCAACUCGGAGGAAGGUGGGGAUGACGUCAAAUCAUCAUGCCCCUUACUCUUGGGCUUCACGCAUGCUACAAUGGCCGUCAAAGGGCUGGUACAAUAAGGUGGAG